rnacentral:rRNA from 1 species
UACAGAGGGGGGCAAGCGUUGUUCGGAAUUACUGGGCGUAAAGGGCGCGUAGGCGGCCUUCUAAGUCGAACGUGAAAUCCCCGGGCUCAACCCGGGAACUGCGUCCGAUACUGGAAGGCUUGAAUCCGGGAGAGGGAUGUGGAAUUCCAGGUGUAGCGGUGAAAUGCGUAGAUAUCUGGAGGAAUACCGGUGGCGAAGGCGGCAUCCUGGACCGAGAUUGACGCUGAUGAGCGAAAGCUAGGGGAGCAAACGGG